rnacentral:rRNA from 1 species
GACGAACGCUGGCGGCGUGCCUAAUACAUGCAAGUAGGACGCAGUUGCGAACGGAUGAGUAACUCGUCGGUAACUACCAGUUAGAGGGGGAUAACUAACGGAAACUAUAGCUAAUACCGCAUACUAGUAGAUGGACCUGGGUUGUAUUAGAUUGUAGGUAGGGUAAUGGCCUACCUAGGCAACGAUACAUAGCCGACCUGAGAGGUUGAGCGGCCACAUUGGGACUGAGAAACGGCCCAGACUCCUACGGGAGGCAGCAGUAGGGAAUCUUCCGCAAUGGGGGGAACGCUGACCGAGCAACGCCGCGUGAGUGAAGAAGGUUUUCGGAUCGUAAAGCUCUGUUGUUAAGGAAGCGGUACUUAACCAGAAAGGGACGGCUAACUACGUGCCAGCAGCCGCGGUAAUAC